AGUCGAACGGCAGCACGGACUUCGGUCUGGUGGCGAGUGGCGAACGGGUGAGUAAUGUAUCGGAACGUGCCUAGUAGCGGGGGAUAACUACGCGAAAGCGUAGCUAAUACCGCAUACGCCCUUCGGGGGAAAGCGGGGGACCUUCGGGCCCUCGCACUAUUAGAGCGGCCGAUAUCCGGAUUAGCUGAACGGUGGGGUAACGGCUCGCAAGGCGACGAUCCGUAGCUGGUUUGAGAGGACGACCAGCCACGCAGGACUGAGACACGGCCAGACUCCUACGGGAGGCAGCAGUGGGGAAUUUUUGGACAAUGGGGAAACCCUGAUCCAGCCAUCCCGCGUGCGAUGAAGGCCUUCGGGUUGUAAAGCACUUUUGGCAGGAAAGAAACGGCACGGGAUAAUACCCCGUGCAACUGACAGUACCUGCAGAAUAAGCACCGGCUAACUACGUGCCAGCAGCCGCGGUAAUACGUAGGGUGCAAGCGUUAAUCGGAAUUACUGGGCGUAAAGCGGUAACGAACAGUUGAAGAAGAUGUGAAAUCCCAGAGCUUAACUUUGGAACUGCAUUUUUAACUACCCCGAGCUAGAGUGUGUCAGAGGAGGUGGAAUUCCGCGUGUAGCAGUGAAAUGCGUAGAUAUGCGAGAGGAACACCGAUGGCGAAGGCAGCCUCCUGGGAUAACACUGACGCUCAUGCACGAAAGCGUGGGAGCAAACGGGAUUAGAUACCCUGGUAGUCCACGCCCUAAACUGAUGUCAACUAGCUGUUGGGGCCUUCGGAGCUGGUAGCGCAACUAACGCUGUGAGUUGACCCGCCUGAAGAUACGGUCGCAAGAUUAAAACUCAAAGGAAUUGACGGGGACCCGCACAAGCGGUGGAUGAUGUGGAUUAAUUCGAUGCAACGCGAAAAAGCCUUACCUACCCUUGACAUGUCUGGAAUCCCGAAGAGAUUUAGGAGUGCUCGCAAGAGAACCGGAACCACCCAGGUGCUGCAUGGCUGUCGUCAGCUCAUGUGCAAAGAUGUUGGGUUAAGUCCCGCAACGAGCGCAACCCAUGUCAUUAGUUGCUACGAAGGGCACUCUAAUGAGACUGCCGGUGACAAACCGGAGGAAGGUGGGGAUGACGUCAAGUCCUCAUGGCCCUUAUGGGUAGGGCUUCACACGUCAUACAAUGGUCGGGACAGAGGGUCGCCAACCCGCGAGGGAAUUAUCCCAGAAGCCGAUCGUAGUCGGAUCGCAGUCUGCAACUCGACUGCGUGGAAGUCGGAAUCGCUAGUAAUCGCGGAUCAGCAUGUCGCGGUGAUAUUCCCGGGUCUUGUACACCGCCCGUCACACCAUGGGGAGUGGGUUUUACCAGAAGUAGUUAGCCUAACCGUAAGGAGGGCGAUUACCACGGUAGGAUUCAUGACUGGGGUGAAGUCGUAACAAGGUAA
rnacentral:rRNA from 1 species